rnacentral:rRNA from 1 species
UGGGGAAUAUUGGGCAAUGGGGGGAACCCUGACCCAGCAACGCCGCGUGAAGGAAGAAGGUUUUCGGAUUGUAAACUUCUGUCCUUGGUGAAGAGGAAGAGACGGUAGCCAAGGAGGAAGCCCCGGCUAACUACGUGCCAGCAGCCGCGGUAAUACGUAGGGGGCAAGCGUUAUCCGGAAUUACUGGGUGUAAAGGGUGAGUAGGCGGCAUGGCAAGUUAGAUGUGAAAGCCCGGGGCUUAACUCCGGGAUUGCAUUUAAAACUGCUAAGCUUUAGUACAGGAGAGGUAAGCGGAAUUCCUAGUGUAGCGGUGAAAUGCGUAGAUAUUAGGAAGAACACCGGUGGCGAAGGCGGCUUACUGGACUGAAACUGACGCUGAGGCACGAAAGCGUGGGGAGCAAACAGG